UACAGAGGUGGCAAGCGUUGUUCGGAAUUACUGGGCGUAAAGGGCGCGUAGGCGGCUUUUCAAGUCCCGUGUGAAAUCCCUCGGCUCAACUGAGGAAUUGCACGGGAAACUGUCUGGCUUGAGUUCGGGAGAGGGAAGCGGAAUUCCGGGUGUAGCGGUGAAAUGCGUAGAUAUCCGGAGGAACACCGGUGGCGAAGGCGGCUUCCUGGACCGACACUGACGCUGAGGCGCGAAAGCUAGGGGAGCAAAC
rnacentral:rRNA from 1 species